rnacentral:rRNA from 1 species
AUUGAACGCUGGCGGCAGGCCUAACACAUGCAAGUCGAGCGAGCGGCGGACGGGUGAGUAAUGUCUGGGAAACUGCCUGAUGGAGGGGGAUAACUACUGGGAACGGUAGCUAAUAACGCAUACCAUCAGAUGUGCCCAGAUGGGAUUAGCUAGUGGGUGGGGUAACGGCUCACCUAGGCGACGAUCCCUAGCUGGUCUGAGAGGAUGACCCGCCACACUGGAACUGAGACACGGUCCAGACUCCUACGGGAGGCAGCAGUGUGGAAUAUUGCACAAUGGGCGCAAGCCUGAUGCAGCCAUGCCGCGUGUGUGAAGAAGGCCUUCGGGUUGUAAAGCACUUUCAGCGGGGAGGCGGUACCCGCAGAAGAAGCACCGGCUAACUUCGUGCCAGCAGCCGCGGUAAUUC